UGUACCUAUUGAAAACUGUGCUAAAGCUCAUUACUGGCUGCAUCUAAGACCAGAAAUAGGGAGCAGCUCUCAUCCUAAUGGGCCCCGCAGGUCAUUCAGUCCAGCAGAUUCUGCUAUUCUUAACAUCACCGGCUCUGCCAAAGCGAAAAUUAAUUCCGGGUAACUUAUGAAAAUCUGGAGUUAUAAAAAAUGAACGUGAAAUUCAAAAUGGAGCUAGAAGUCAGAGAAAUGCCCUUCCUCACUCCUGAAAGUAUUCCCAUAUUUAAUCAAGUUCAGAGCAGCAAAGCAUGCGCCUUGUUUAAUCAUUCUCUCCCCUUGACAACGUCUCAAAACUGAAGCUUUUGUCACACUCCUGGAUAUAAUGCUGGACUCCUCUUCCCCUCCACAGCUCAGACACAGGAUGAGACUCUCUUUUCCACUAGCAGUGCCACAGCAGUCCAUAGGAAAACAGUCUGAUUUAACACAGGAUGUACUGCUGAGUGUUAGGAGGUAGCACAUCCCAACUUCUUCAAUGGACCAAACUGAUUUUUUUCUGUGAGUCCACAACCUUUUCUGACAAAUAUUAUCUCAAAUCCCUCCCCUGUAUGGAAUUAAACUUCUGGGGACCAGAAAGACUGAAAUGAGUUAGCUGUAACAGACUAGACAUAUACCCUACAUUUCAGAGAAAGUGCCCCUAAAAACAUAUAUAGAAUCUAUCUGGCUGUAGGUUCUGGCAAACGGAUUUAGUCCUAUACUCACAUCCUCAAAUAUUUAGAAAAACAUGGAUUAAAAUAAAUACAUAAAUAAAUAAAUAAACCAAAAACAUAACCCUGAAGUCACUAUUCCUUAUCUCUAGGAAACUCCUCAGUGCAAAGAUCCUGCACUAUACAGCCAUAUGCACUGGGCUUCCUUUACCUUUGGCAUUUAGACGGAAACUGUACAAAAUUAAGUAUUCAAAAGCUACUACCCUCAUCGUUGCACAUCUUAACAGGUAUUCAUGCAGAGCACAGAUGGAAUUGUCUGUGCAGUGAGAUGGUUCAUCAGUGUCAAAAGAAAGCAAAUUUAAAAAAAACAUGCUCUGUUCACUUAAUCACAAUGCCACUUGCUUACAAAAAAAAAAAGAGUUGCCAGUCAUUUGAUCGUUAUUUUGUACAAGUAUGUUGUGAUUGUCUUAGCAUUUAACUUUCAGAAAAACUGGCACCCAAUUCCAAAUUAUUUCUACGCUAAAUACCAGCUUUCUGAGCCUUUCCUACACCAGGAUCAAGUGCAUUCUAUCAAAGAAACUACAAAGAAAACAUGCUCCUUUAGGCUCUGAUUUCUUUAUGUUUAUUUCCUCACAUAAAAACACUGGAAAUACUGAGGAUUCCUCAGUUUUACCUCUAAGAAAUACUGCUGCCAGGGCCUUAAUUGCCCUGAGUGGUCUCACCUGGAGCACCCCCCCACCCUCUGCCCAUGGGCCCAUUUAAGCCCAGCCUAGGGUGCUAGUUGUUUCCUGCUGUAGGUUUACGUGUCUCCAACUGUGUCUCUGGCUUCUUCUCCUAGAUGGAUCCCACACCGAUCCUACAGCAGUCACUUCAGCCCCAUCUUCAGCUGCUCCUGAGCAGGCUCCCUGGAUGGCUGCUGGGCCAGGUUCACCACUUUGCCAUACCUGGGCCGGUCGAUGGGCCCUGCUACCGGCACCCACCUCUGCCUGUUGUGUUCAGGUGCUCAGGAGAGUGCCCUGGUCAGUAAGGGGCUCAGCCAGCCCCUGCUCCCGGCUCACCUCCCUUAGCAGCAGCCUGUCUUCAGUGUCAACUGCAAAGAUGAAAGUAAACAGGAAACUGUAAGGAUAUUUGGUAAUUGGCUAUUCAGCAAAAAGGACAAAUAAGGAACAGGAAGGUAAUUAAAUAUGCCGAUGCACAUCCUUUAACACUCUGCAGAUAAGAGAGUAACAAAGAAAGAACACAUGGGACGCUGAUGGAUGGGCUUGAGUGUGAACGACUUGUGUGACCUUGAAGAAACUCAACCAGAAACUUUGUAACAGGUAGGAAAACAACAUUACUAAGGGUACCAGCACAGGUCUCAUAGCAAACAGCAAGCUGCUUAUGGGAUAGGAGAGGAAUUGUGAGACUGGGUAAAAGUUAUUAUUAGGAUGCCUUAAGCAGGGGAUGUGGGAAUGUGGAAAAACUGAGAUAUUUAGGGGAAGGUUCAAAGGCGGGGCAAGGGAGGGAUGAAGGUGGAUAGGGGAGGAACAACCAUGGGGAACAGGAAGGGAUGGGGAUAAAAGGGGCUGACCUCAUGUUAACAGGCUACAUACAGGUCAGGACGCUGCUGUGCCUCAUGACUGUAGCCCAUCCCAUCUUCUCAAACACUGCUUACUCCUAAAUAGUUUCCAAGUGAGUUUGUCCAAUAAACUUCAAGUCAGACUAGCCUGUGAACUGGAGGAAAUCACAAUCUGGAAACUCAACAUCCUGACCAGAGGCUGGAUUAAAAAAUAAAAUAAAAUGGCUGGAUAUGGAUACUGGAAGGACUCAAGGUCUGACAGACUGGACAGAUCCACGAACGUGAGUAUGAAUGUCAGCUGAAGGAGGACAUGAUAUGCUUGCAAAUUUCAAGCCUGGUUACCUGAUGAACAGGAAGAGGAUUAGGCCGUUUGUGAUCUUCCUGUUCCACGUGAACGCUGUUCAUGUUUGUGGAUGUCUGUAAAGGUACUGUCCUUCCGCCUAUAUUACUGUUUAUAGCUGUACCUGUCUGUGUGCAUGCAUGGGAGCAGGUUCAGCCUUGCUUCUGACCGGACCUUGGAACAGUCUAGGGGUCUCUAAUCUGAAGGGACCAACAGGGGAGGAAUCUCCUGGACGCAACAAGUUCAGCAGACUUUCUAUCCGUAUAGUAUCUGGCAUCACUGACAGGAUCCAGAUGGGCUUUAGGCAUUCCUGAGAUGGUGGAUAUCGAAUACCUAUGAAAGGAGGGGACUGAUUCUUCUGCAAAUAUGCCCAAAGCAUUAGUUUGUAACCAAACCCACAGAAAGUCUUGGGGUACCUGAACUGGGAUAGUAGGGGAAACUGAAUGUAGAGAAUAUUACCGAACCACAAAAGAAAUAGUAGGAGGUGUAAAGUGGCUUUACUCUAUGGCUGAGAUCUGCACAAAAAAAAGUCCCUUAGAAUUCAAUGCGAAUUUUGAUAUUAAUUGCAAAAGGACACCCCCAGUGCAGAGAUUCAAACUUAUGGGCCAGAUGUGAGCUGUCCCUCCAAGGCUCAUAGAUUCUCUCAGUACAGGAUGAACAAAGUUCAGCUACAUCUUCCUAGGAAGAAUUUUUGUCUCUGCCAUAACACCUUCUUGAAUAUAUUCUCCUUUCCUUCUGCUGAAACACCACUUAACCCUGAAAUACCUUUAACGCAGACAGUAUAUGUACUAAAUGUAAAAUAUUUAUUGGCUCUUGUCACUUAAUUGUCAUCCUGUUCACCAAAAAGAAUGAUCUCAAGGUCUAUCACCACAAGCAUUGCAGAAUGCUUACGUUACCAGGAUAAUGUCCCUGACCUGAGAGAGGGGGAAAAAAUCUGUUUAAAGAACUGGGAAUCCCUCUUAGGGAGCCCUUUAAAAAAAAAAAGCAUUAGAGAAACAAAAAUAUAGUCGUCUGGGACAGAUGUUCUGUAACAGACUCCCUUCAUCAGAUGAUUCAUAUGCUAAGAAGUGGCAGACAGCUGCUUUGUUUGUGGUGGGGGUGGCUGGAAGGGAAAGGGAAGGAAGGCUGGCCUAAUGCUAAGGUCCAGAUCUGUCCUCCCACACAGGGCCAGGCUACACUCCCAGAACAGCAGGGACCAUGUUUUUAAUUGAAACUGCUUCUGCUCUAAAUUUAGCCAGUGAACCACUACGAAAUAAAAAAGGUCAAAAUAACAUUUACGGGGGGGGGAGGGAAAAGGGGCGGUAGCAGAAAAGGGGGUGGAUGGCAGGAAGCUAAUGGCUAGAAACAAGGAUACCUUGCUCCCAUAUAACAUCUGGGGAAUUGCUUCACAAAAAUCUCUCCUUGUGAGGUGCUGAGGGGGACAGAAGAUGCUAAAAUACCUCCCUCCACCCCCCUUUCAAUAGCCAUUUCAGUUUAUAGUCCAGAUUUCAGUUUAUAGACCAGAGCUGUAGUUCACUUGAUUAAUUAUGCUAAUGCUACCCAGGCAGCAGAAAGCACCCUGCAGUUCCGCAGUUGACCAGUGCGGUGGAGGUGCCUGGAAAUAUUUGCAAUUGUAAUGAAUCGCCCUGAAGGCUUAAAACAUGCAAAAUGCAGAUCUUAUCAGUUCUCUGAGGAAUGCAGGCAAUGCAGCUUUGGGGGCUGGGAAUCCAGAAGAAAAGGCAGAUACAUUUGCCCAUAUAAACUCUCUUCAAGCAGCUCUGUGAUUGCUCAUCAAAGGAAGAUCCACCUCUAUGCAAGCAUUAAACAUUUGCUCGUAUGUUAGUGACUUCUUUAGGGAUAAAAAGAGUACCAAAGAAGCUUAUGAAAUCCAUUUGUAGUGCCUUGGUUAAUAUUCAUCUAGAUCCUACCUGUGUGUAAAUACAAUUGAAUCUUAGUGAAUACCUUUUUCACAUAGUAGACUAUAUGAAAGAUGUAUCUGUGGCUGUGAGAAUUAUGGUGCCAUGGUUCACCAGAUAAUAUAAAAUCAUGACAGACUUUCAGAGAUGCUGGAACUGCUAUUUGGGAAAGAUAUAGAUGGGGUAUCAUUUCAUUUCACCAGUUUCACCUCAAAUGAAUGGAAAAUGGCAAAGUUAGUAAUCAACUUUCACGAUCAGAACAAGGAAGAGGGUGUGUACAGCACUUGGUAAUCCACAAUAAAAAUGAAUCUCAGUUUAUAGUAUUGAUCAAGCCUUGAUGAAGAUUGAGGAACACAGAUCAGAAGACAACAUCUAUAGAAAGAACAGCCUCUGUAACCACUGUAGUCUUCAUGCAUCCUGUCAGUUCCUACUGGGAAAUGACUUAUUUGCGUUUGCUGGGAAGAAAAAUGCAACUCUGCUAUGGGAAAAUAGGGCUAUUAUGUAAACACACCUAAUAAACAAAUACCUUAAGCUGGGGAAAGACAGGCCUGCUCAUAUUUGAGGAACAGGGGAACAAGCGUUCCAACUGUCCUGUCCCCUGUUUGUCAGAAAUAAUCUAAGGGAAUCCACCCCCUCAUAGACUAAGGUCAUAAAGUUCCCCCACCUUAUCAUUUAGAAAAUUCGACAACAGUUUCCGUGAAUUCAACCACGAGGCGAAGGGAAAAAACCUCCUUGUGGCCCACCAAGCUGAGACUAUGCAGUGCUACUGUGAACUUGCAGCUAUGCUUUCUGAAUGGUGUGAUUGGAAGGACUUUGUUAAGGAAAUGCCUUACUACAUUACUUAGGCUGUGAUGAGUUACCAGCAUACAUAAUAUAAUGAUAUAAUCAUCGUUUCCUUUAAAAUACCAGUUUAAGAUACAUGCUACUUUGCAUGUGGACUGAAGAAUGAAAGAAGACUUGACAAAACCAAUUCUAUUUCCACCUGCGAACUUCCCCCAAAGCUUAUUUCAAAGCAGUACUAAGGCAUCUGCUCCAGGACCAUAGCCUUCUGAACAGGCAAAGCUGAGAAGUAUAAAAGCAAGGAGAGAGAGUGAUACAGUCCUCUGCACUUUUAAAUGGGGGAGUAUAAAGAUAGCUGGUUAAUGGCUAUUCAGCCUAAAAGACAAAGGAAAGGAAUGGGAGAAGCAAUAAAUUUAAGACACCUUUGUGUUGAAUGUAACAAACUGCAGACUUGUAUCUAGCAAAUUACAGAUAAGAGUAACAAAGACUAGAAGUCAGAUACUGAUCAAUGGGCCACUCAUGGCUCAAGUGAAAUGUAACUUGUAAGAAAACAUCCUACUAGGUUAUCUGAACAGGUCUCAUAGGAGAGACCAAAUGGAUAGGAUACAACAGGGACAGCAAGAUGUGUAAAACAAGUUAUUACGCAAUGUUCAGAGGGAGGAUCAAAGGAGGAAUCAAGGUAGGUGCGUGGAGGAAGAACUGUGGGCAAGGGGAAGAGAAUCCAAUUCUAUGUUAGCCUGCUGAAUUUCCUCCUAUCUACUUACUAAACACUCUUCCUGAUAUUUUCCCUGCAAGUGAGUGUUCUGCUAGUGAACUUUCAGUCAACUAACAUGUGAAUAGGAGGAAACCACAGUCUGGAAAGACACAAGAUCCCAGCCAGAAACUGGCUAAAAAGCUGCGGGUCUGGCACAGUUACCAGAAGAACUUCAGGCCUGGCAGAGGCUGAAGACAUCUGUGACUGUGAGUGUGUGUACAAGUUGACUGAGGGUACAGAUAUGUUCUGCUAACAAACUUUAAGCCUGAUUAACCUACAAGAAAGACCAUGGCCGCCUGUGUUGUUUAUGCUGUUAGUAUUUACCUAUUAAAGGUACUUUAGUUGUGUAUGUAUUUCUUUGUGGCCAGCUGUGCGUGCACUGUGCGCAUUCAUGUACACAUACAUCUGUUAUUGCCAUUCCUGCUCAGGCAUGGUGCUGGCUGAACCUGGGGGACAGCAGCCUCACACUGAGCAACCAGGAUCCCCUGGGUGCAACCCUCUACUGCUUCUUGCCAACUCCUUAGUGGAAACGUGAGGACUUCAAAAAACAGAACUGGCUGACGUAAACAAAAUAAUCCAGACUCCCCAAAACUGAGUAAAGUCAAUUUGGUUUGAGGGAAAGAAAUAGUCAGUACAGUAAUUUACUUUAUUCUUGUAACAGAAAGAACAUUAUAAUACU